AACUGAUACUACCUGCGGGAACCUGCGGAAGGAUCAUUAACGUUGGGGACUAACAAUCCCUCAGCGAGAUAGAACCCUUGCCUUUUCGAGUACCACACGUUUCCUCGGCAGGUACGCCUGCCAAUGGGGACCACAACAAAACCUUUUGUAAUAGCAGUAAACGUCUUAAAAACAAAACUUUUAAAACUUUCAACAACGGAUCUCU
rnacentral:misc_RNA from 1 species